rnacentral:rRNA from 1 species
GAUGAACGCUGGCGGCGUGCCUAAUACAUGCAAGUCGAACGAACAGACGAGGAGCUUGCUCCUCUGACGUUAGCGGCGGACGGGUGAGUAACACGUGGAUAACCUACCUGUAAUACUGGGAACACUUCGGGACACCGGCGCUAAUACGGGAUAAUAUCUUGCACCGCGUUGUGGGAUAGUAAGAGACGGCUUUUCUGGAUCUUAUAGCUGGAUCCGCGCCGCAUUAGCUAGUUGGUAAGGUAAAGGCCUACCACGGCAACGAGGCGUAGACGACGUGUGGGGGUGAUCGGCCACCCUGGAACGUGGCCACGGUCCAGACGCCUACGGGAGGCAGCAGUAGGGAAUCUUACGCAAUGGGCGAAAGCCUGGCGGAGCAACGCCGCGUGAGUGAUGAAGGCCCCCGGAUCGUAAAACUCUGUUAUGAGGGAAGAACAAAUGUGUAAGUAACUAUGCACGUCUUGACGGUACCUAAUCAGAAAGCCACGGCUAACUACGUG